AAGUCACAGUGGGCAAGGAGGGGUCUCGCAGUGAGGAUAUCCGGUUUUUCUCUGUGCCGGAAUCUCUCGUUCUCGAGUGGGCGGGGCUGAGGGCAUGUCUACAUGAGACUGGACUUUCUAUCCAUAAUCCCAAACUGACACUUAAGUGCAGAACUGGAGGUAUUCAAAGCUAAGCUGGCAAUUAGAAGUUUGUAUCUUUCAUAGAAUUCCAUUAUCAGAAGCUGUUCCACAGAUGGUACCAGAAUAGCAAACAGCUCCAGAUGGUGCAAUCAUGUGAACAGACACAGAUGAGUGUAGCCUAUUUAUCGGAAUCAUAUGCAGCUGCAGUUACUCAUCUGGAGGCCUGAGGGUAAUGGAAGGCUGGAAAUAAAAAUAAAAAUGAAUAAUACUAAUUCUGAGAAUUUCUUGUGAUUUCUCUCUCUUGAGAUAUAGCAAUUCCUGGAACUCCCAAAUAAUCUUGAAAGAAAGCAAGAAAUGGCCUGCAGAAAAAGCCCAAAUGCCACA